rnacentral:rRNA from 1 species
GACGAACGCUGGCGGCAUGCCUAACACAUGCAAGUCGAACGAGACCUUCGGGUCUAGUGGCGCACGGGUGCGUAACGCGUGGGAAUCUGCCCUUGGGUGCGGAAUAACAGUUAGAAAUGACUGCUAAUACCGCAUAAUGACUCCGGUCCAAAGAUUUAUCGCCCAAGGAUGAGCCCGCGUCGGAUUAGCUAGUUGGUGAGGUAAACGCUCACCAAGGCGACGAUCCGUAGCUGGUCUGAGAGGAUGAUCAGCCACACUGGGACUGAGACACGGCCCAGACUCCUACGGGAUGCAGCAGUGGGGAAUAUUGGACAAUGGGCGAAAGCCUGAUCCAGCAAUGCCGCGUGAGUGAUGAAGGCCUUAGGGUUGUAAAGCUCUUUUACCCGGGAUGAUAAUGACAGUACCGGGAGAAUAAGCCCCGGCUAACUCCGUGCCAGCCGCCGCAGUAACAC